UACAGAGGGUGCGAGCGUUAAUCGGAAUUACUGGGCGUAAAGCGUGCGUAGACGGUAGCGUAAGUCAGAUGUGAAAGCCCCGGGCUCAACCUGGGAAUUGCAUUUGAGACUGCAAGGCUUGGGUGCGGAAGAGGGAAGCGGAAUUUCCGGUGUAGCGGUGAAAUGCGUAGAUAUCGGAAGGAACAUCAGUGGCGAAAGCGGCUUCCUGGUCCAGCACCGACGUUCAGGCACGAAAGCGUGGGGAGCAAACAGG
rnacentral:rRNA from 1 species